GGGUCUCUGAUCUGACUGGAGGAGCUACAUGGAUUUCGUCUUAUCUCACUUCUACUUACCAACUUCUCUCUCAAUGACUCUAGGCACGUCACCGGGCUGGUGUGUGUGUGUGACAGGACAAGACAGGCCUGGACAGUUGUGUUUGUGUCGGUGUGUGUGGUGAAGUGUUGCGAUGCGGCUCUUGCUCCUCCACGGUGUGUUUUUCCUCCAGUGUGUGCGGUUAUCCCAGCAGCAGUUUCCCCGUCUCUGCGCCACCACGGAGGCCCUGCUCUCUAAGGAGUGCUGCCCGGUCUGGGAUGGGGAUGGCUCGGCUUGCGGGGCCAGCUCUGGCAGAGGGUUCUGCCGGGACGUGGAGGUAUCGGAUCUACCCAACGGGCUGAAUUACCCGUUCUCCGGCUUGGACGACAGAGAGAGGUGGCCUCUGGUGUUUUAUAACCGGACCUGCCAGUGCGCCUCCAACUACAUGGGGUUCAACUGCGGAGAGUGCCAGUUCGGGCUGUUUGGUACUAACUGCGGGGAGAGGAGAGAGUCCGUGAGGCGGAACGUGUUUCACCUUUCGGCGGCGGAAAGGCGGAAACUAAUCUCUUACCUCAACCUGGCCAAGCACACAGUCAGCCAGGAUUACGUCAUAGCUACCGGGACCUACCGGGAGAUGAAUAACGGGAGCACCCCACUGUUCUCUGACGUCUCGACCUAUGACGUGUUUGUGUGGAUGCACUACUAUGUCUCGAGGAAUGCUCUUCUCGGUGGACCGGGGAAUGUCUGGACAGAUGUGGAUUUCGCCCACUGGGCUCCCGCCUUUCUGCCGUGGCACCGUGCGUACCUGCUGCACUGGGAGCGUGAUAUUCGGAAGCUGACCGGGGACUUUGAGUUCUCCAUCCCGUACUGGGACUGGCGGGACGCGCAGGGCUGUGACGUCUGCACCGACGACCUGAUGGGCGCCCGGAGCCCGCGAGACCCCAACCUCAUCAGCCCGGCUUCAGUGUUCUCUUCCUGGAAGGUGAUGUGUUCGCGUGCGGAAGACUACAGCGUGAGGGGGGUGCUGUGUGACGGUAGCGACGAGGGGCCGUUGCUGCGUAACCCUGGCAACCACAACCGUAACUUGGUUCCACGGUUGCCAACGGCAGCAGAGGUGGAGUUCACGGUCAGUCUCCGUGACUACGACACGGGAGCCAUGGACCGCUCCGCUAACUUCAGCUUCAGAAACACAAUGGAAGGUUUUGGGAACCCUCAGACAGGCCUGGGUAACAGUAGGGUGAUGGGGAUGCACGCCUCUCUUCACAUCUUCAUGAAUGGCUCCAUGUCUUCAGUUCAGGGGUCAGCUAAUGACCCUAUUUUCCUACUGCACCACUCCUACGUCGACAGUAUCUAUGAGCAGUGGUUGAGGAGACAUGCUCCAGAGCAGACCCAAUACCCAGAGUUCAAUGCUCCCAUCGGCCACAACAGGCAGUACCACAUGGUGCCCUUCAUACCUCUACACAGGAACAUAGAAUACUUCACCUCCAGCAAAGACCUGGGGUACGAAUACUCCUACAUGCUCGACUCAGACCAGAGGAUAUCGGAGGUUCUCAGUCCUUACCUGGAACUGAUGAUGGAGGCGUGGCCCUGGUUGCUAGGGGCGUUGGUCCUGGGGGCCCUGGUAGCUAUGACUGUGGCUGCGGUAGCUGUGACUAUGACCCGGGUGUGUUGGGGUGCGUGGCCAUGGCAACGUGGGGAGAAGAGUUCAGCGUUCCAGCUACCAGAAAGGGAACCUCUCAUCAUCAGCAGUGAUAGUGAUACCCCCAACUACCACACUGUUUAGCCCCAACUACCACACUGUUUAGCCCCAACAACCACACUAUAUACCCCCAACUACCACACUGUUUAGCCCCAACUACCACACUGUUUAGCCCCAACUACCCCACUAUUUAGCCCCAACAACCACACUAUAUAUCCCCAACUGCCACACUGUUAAGUCCCAACUACCCCACUAUAUACCCCCAACUACCACACUGUUUAGCCCCAACUACCACACUGUUUAGUCCCAACUACCCCACUACAUACCCCCAACUACCACACUGUUUAGCCCCAACUACCACACUGUUUAGCCCCAACAACCCCACUAUUUAGCCCCAACUACCCCAAAUGCCACACUGUUUAUCCCCAACUACCACACUGUUUAGCCCCAACUACCACACUGUUUAGCCCCAACAACCCCACUAUUUAGCCCCAACUACCCCAAAUGCCACACUGUUUAUCCCCAACUACCACACUGUUUAGCCCCAACUACCACACUAUUUAGCCCCAACAACCACACUAUUUAGCCCCAACUACCCCACUAUUUAGCCCCAACAACCACACUGUUUAGCCCCAACUACCCCACUAUUUAUCCCCAACUACCCCAAAUGCCACAUUGUUUAUCCCCAACUACCACACUGUUUAUCCCCAAAUGCCCCACUAUUUAGCCCCAACAACCACACUGUUUAGCCCCAACAACCACACUGUUUAGCCCCAACAACCACACUGUUUAGCCCCAACAACCACACUGUUUAGCCCCAACUACCACACUGUUUAGCCCCAACAACCACACUGUUUAGCCCUAACUACCCCACUGUUUAGCCCCAACUACCCCACUUUUUAGCCCCAACUACCACACUGUUUAGCCCCAAAUGCCCCACUAUUUAGCCCCAACAACCACACUGUUUAGCCCCAACAACCACACUGUUUAGCCCCAACAACCACACUGUUUAGCCCCAACUACCACACUGUUUAGCCCCAACAACCACACUAUAUAGCCCCAACUACCACACUGUUUAGCCCCAACUACCACACUGUUUAGCCCCAACAACCACACUGUUUAACCCCAACAACCACACUGUUUAGCCCCAACUACCCCACUGUUUAGCCCCAACAACCACACUGUUUAGCCCCAACUACCCCACUGUUUAGCCCCAACUACCACACUAUUUAGCCCCAACUACCACACUGUUUAGCCCCAACUACCCCACUGUUUAGCCCCAACUACCACACUGUUUAGCCCCAACUACCCCACUGUUUAGCCCCAACAACCACACUCUUUAGCCCCAACAACCACACUGUUUAGCCCCAACAACCACGCUGUGUAGCUCCAACUACCACACUGUAUAGCCCCAACAAUCACAUUGUUUAGCCCCAGCAACUAUACAGCCAACUCCUAGCCCUGCAACCCUAGGCUACAGCCAAGCCGUAACCUUUAAAUUACCACCCAGACAAUUCCUUGCCUAUCUGCCACACCUGCCAACAUGUGACGGGGCCCUAUGUACAGUUGAUGUCGGUAGUUAACAUACACCUUAGCCAAAUACAUUUAAAAUCAG